CCUACGGGAGGCUGCAGUGAGGAAUAUUGGUCAAUGGACGAGAGUCUGAACCAGCCAAGUAGCGUGAAGGAUGACUGCCCUAUGGGUUGUAAACUUCUUUUAUAAAGGAAUAAAACGAGGCACGUGUGCCUUUUUGCAUGUACUUUAUGAAUAAGGAUCGGCUAACUCCGUGCCAGCAGCCGCGGUAAUACGGAGGAUCCGAGCGUUAUCCGGAUUUAUUGGGUUUAAAGGGAGCGUAGAUGGGUUGUUAAGUCAGUUGUGAAAGGUUGCGGCUCAACCGUAAAAUUGCAAUUGAUACUGGCAGUCUUGAGUACAGUUGAGGUAGGCGGAAUUCGUGGUGUAGCGGUGAAAUGCUUAGAUAUCACGAAGAACCCCGAUUGCGAAGGCAGCUUACUAAACUGUGACUGACAUUGAUGCUCGAAAGUGUGGGUAUCAAACAGGAUUAGAUACCCCGGUAGUC
rnacentral:rRNA from 1 species